rnacentral:rRNA from 1 species
CCUACGGGUGGCAGCAGUGGGGAAUAUUGCACAAUGGGGGAAACCCUGAUGCAGCGACGCCGCGUGAAGGAAGAAGUAUUUCGGUAUGUAAACUUCUAUUAGCAGGGAAGCAAAUGACGGUACCUGACUAAGAAGCCCCGGCUAACUACGUGCCAGCAGGCGCGGUAAUACGCAGGGGGCAAGCGUUAUCCGGAUUUACUGGGUGUAAAGGGAGCGUAGGCGGUUUAGCAAGUCAGAAGUGAAAGCCCGGGGCUCAACUCUGGGACUGCUGUUGAAACUGUUGAACUAGAUUGCAGGAGAGGUGAGCGGAAUUCGUGGUGUAGCGGUGAAAUGCGUAGAUAUUAGGAGGAACACCAGUGGCGAAGGCAGCUUACUGGACUGCAAAUGACGCUGAGGCUCGAAAGUGUGGGGAUCAAACAGGAUUAGAUACCCGGGUAGUC